rnacentral:lncRNA from 1 species
UGGGUUUUUAAACACACUACUCAACAAAUCUGAACUGUACAAGCCUCACACAUGUGGUCCAUUUGAUGGGCCUUCAUGAAUGACAAAAUUAUAAUUUUUCCAUUCUAUUCCCUCACCCGUUAGAUCGCGAUUCUCCUUUAUAUCUGAACCGUUCAAUCGCAUGACCAUUGGAUCACCUCAAAAUGCAUGCAGACUGCCCAAUCGGCAUCUCGCACGUUGAUUAUU